GCGAGAAUUACUAUAAAAUCUGACGGCGCAUGGCACUUGGCCCAGUCAACACAUUACUAAGGAAGCUAGAUCAUGUGGCCUACAGGUUUCAAAUGCGCUGAAGUAGUUAUCUAGUGCUUGCACUAUUUGUUUUGGCUCCAUUCCCAUCUAUGCCAGAUCAGUAAUAAGUGGAUAUCUAUGAUCCCUUCCACUUACGAACCCUUCUUUCUAUCAGCGCCUUUUAUUUCCUGCAGGUAUUGUUCUAAUUCAUUCCCCCAACAAUGUGUGUGACUGUGCGUUUGUGUUUGCAAGCCUUUAUCCGAAAGGACAAUUACAGUCAGAGAUAAGGAUAGCAAAAGAAAAAUACGAACACAAAUAAGAAAAUAAUCAAAAUCGAUGCAUAUCCUAUAAAAAAUGAAUUAAGCAUGUAUGAAGCAAAUAAAGCCAAUCGCAUGCAAAGAAUAAGUGUUUAAUUAUAAAAGAAGUCACAGAAGUAUUUAUUAUAGGGAUAAUUACUAUAACGUCUGACAUCAUGCUCUUUUACGUGGCAUGACAGAUAGCAGUCAACACAUUACUAGGGACGCUAGAACAUGUAAGCUACAGGUUUCAAAGGCGCUAAGUAGUUAUCUAGUGCCCAAGCACUAUUUCUUUUGGCUUGACUCCCAAGCUAUCUAUGCCAGGUCUAAAAUAAGUGGAUAUCUAUGAUCCCUUCCACGUACAAACCUUCAUUCUAUCUUAAGCGCCCUUUUCUUCCUGCAGAGAUUGUUCUAAUUCAUUUCCCAACAGUGUGUGUGACGUAUUGACAAGCCUUCAUCUAGUGUUCCCAAAAGGACAAUAGCAGUCGUACAUAAGCACCACAAAAAAGCAAUAAAUAAUAAUAGAUAUUUCUCAUAAAACUCCAAAAACACUGAAAAUAAACUAGGAAUGCAAAAGACCCAAAAAAAAAAAAAACUUAGCAUAGUUAGCUUUGCAUAAAGUGAUAAAACAAAAAACAAGAACAAUAUUUUUUUUUCCAGAACCCAAAGGAAUAAACGAAAACAAAGUAAGCAUGCUGAAAAUAAAUGAAUCCAAUCACAGGCAAGUAAUAUACAGACUGAAAUACUUCCCCCGACAUGUAAGCUAAAAAAAAAUUAAUACACGGGUACAAAUAUUGAAAGCCACAAAAAACAGCUACCAGUAAAUCAAAUUGACAUAAUCAACAGACACACAACCCUAAUUCAUGGCAUCCAUGAAAGUCUUAGAAAUAUGUGACAGACAUAAAAUUGGAUUAAGAGUUACCCCAAAAAAUCAAGCAUACCAACGGAUUCAGGGUUAUUAGACAACUAAAGGUCCCAUAAUUCAUAUAAAAUAAAUGGAUUGAAAGCACAAGAAUAAUGAAAUUACUACAUAAGAAAUUGUUAUUAUAUGACCAUGGAGAUAGAAUAUGUUAUAUGUGUUUACCCAAUAAUGCGCAAAACAGAUAAAUAAAGGUGCUUGCUUUCAAUUGCUAUGCAUUCAACAAGAAACAAGUAAUACACAAGUGCAGCAUAAUAAAUAUUCAAAAGUAAAACAGAUCCACAAGUAAUGAAAGCAUGUAAAUUAACAAUCGAAACAAAAUCAAAUAGAAUUAAAUUGAUUAUUGUAUACUAGCAUCGAAGUUAAAAGGAAAUAGAGGAAUUUGAAGUAAAGAGAAACCUGUUAAUAGUCAAGAUCUCCAUUAGAAGUGUUUCAAUUGAAGAAAGCUUUCCAAAUCUCUGACACAAUACAACUUGAUGAUGAAUAAUAGUAGUAAUAGUAGAGAGAGAGAGAGAGAGAGAGAGAGAGAGAGAGAGAGAGAGAGAGAGAGAGAGAGAGAGAGAGAGAGAGAGAGAAGAAGAAGAAGAAGAAGAGAUUGAACAAAUUACCUGAGAGAAGAAAGCAGCGCGACAAACGUUAAGACGACAACGGCUUCUUCUUCUUCUUCUUCGCUCUUUGCUUUCUCUCUUCACAAAUUUCUUUCCUUUGGUUUCGCAAGCUCUUUAUAUAUAUAGUUUUG
rnacentral:lncRNA from 1 species